rnacentral:ncRNA from 1 species
CAAAAGUUUGGUCCUAGCUUUUUUAUCAAUUUUAAUCAAUUUUACACAUGCAAGCAUCCACGAACCAGUGAAUAAAUCCCUUAUAAAAACUAAGGAGCCGAUAUCAGGCACAACAUUUACUUAGCCUAUAACAUCUAGCUCAGCCACACCCACAAGGGCAAGCAGCAGUGAUUAACAUUAAUAAUGAACACAAGUUCAAUUUAGAUAUGAUUAAUAGAGUUGGUUUAUCUUGUGCCAGCCACCGCGGUUAUACAAGAAACUCAAAUUGAUAUUAUACGGCGUAAAAAGUGAUAAAAAAAACAAUUAAAAAUUAAGAUUAAAUAUUCAUUUAACUGUCAUACGUUAUUAUGCAAUAUAAAAUCAACAACAUCUUAAUAUUUAUAUUAUACUUGAAUUCACGACCGUUAAAACACAAACUGGGAUUAGAUACCCCACUAUGUUUAACCACAAAAAUUGAACACCUACAAUUAACCUCUGCCAGAGUACUACAAGCAACAGCUUAAAAUUCAAAGGACUUGGCGGUAUCCCAAAACCCCCCAGAGGAGCCUGUUCUAUAAUCGAUAACCCACGUUUUACCUUACCAUUUUUUGCUAACUCAACCUAUAUACCGCCGUCAUCAGCCCACCUUUUGAAAGACUAAUAGACAGCUAAACUGAAUAUUACCAAAUACGUCAGGUCAAGGUGUAGUAUAUAAAAUGGACAGAAAUGGGCUACAUUUUUUUACAAAAAAUAUCACGACUAAUAUUAUGAAAAAAUAUUUAAAGGCGGAUUUGGUAGUAAAAUAAGAUCACCAUACUUAUUUAAAACCGGCCCUGGGAUGCGCACACACCGCCCGUCACCCUCAUCAAAAAACAACCAACUUAUUAAUAAAACCUAUUACUAUAAUUACUAGAAGAGGAAAGUCGUAACAAGGUAAGCGCACUGGAAAGUGCUCUUGGAUUAC